GCAUUAAGUAUGGUUUAAUAUUUCUUCUUUAGACGCAGCCUAACUUUGAAAAUUCAAACUUUAUUUAUUUUUGUUGGCAAUCAUCUCCGAAUAGAAUUUGUUCUUUCUAUGUUACUUUGUCAGUUAUUGUCGCCUCCUUUGUCGCAUUAUAAAUGCGAAAUAAGGAGAGAGCACGAAAAUUUGACGUCAUAACUGAAGAUGGACUUAAACAAUUGAUCAAGCGAAAAUAUGAGACCUAUAAAAACAAUGGUUGUCAAUUCAAGAUUAAGUACUAAGUAUUCGUUUGUUUUUUGG
rnacentral:lncRNA from 1 species